CCUCCGCCCCAUCGGCUCGUACAGCGGGCGGGGGACAUCAGUCUCCACGCGCCCCCUGGGCUGUACCGCACAGCACUGCUGGCCCAAGUCAGAGGUGUGGCUGUGGCUCCUUACGAAGAGCCGUAGUUUGUGAACGAACUUUUGGGUGAAUACUCUGUGGGCCUGAUGACUUGCUGCUGUCACCAUAUCUCACAAGGAGUAGACAAGAGAGGGAACUGAAGAACCCAUGCCUAGGAAUGCCUGCUGCAGAGAUCCUACCUGAUCAUGCUGGAGCAUACCAAGAUGAGAUAGUUUUCCUUAGGUCAGGCCUGUUUGCUCUGUUCAUUAUGGAUGAUAUCACGCUGCUGAGGGUGAGCAGGGAAUCAAGUGAAGGUCUUCUCCAUGACUGCAGCUUCCAGCCCGGCCCUUAUGCGGCUCACCUGUGUGCAGCAGUGGUUCCACCCCCUCCUCACAGUGAUGACAGAGUGGUGUGGGAAAGUUACCGUUAAUGGGGCAAGAAACAAAGCAGCUCUGCCAAAGAACCUGCGGCAGCGGAUUGCCCAGUAUCUCCAUGAGAGUUUCCUGGAGAUCUGAGGCAGAUUCCUGUGAAGUGAGGGAGUCAAUCAGCACCCUGUUCUGCCGCUCAGACUAGGCACAUGGUGGUACAGGCAUCAUAGAGACACAAGCCUGCUUUCUGCAACCCUCCUACCCCCAGCAACUCACUUCAUUGAUUCCCAAAAUCAAAGCCACUUACCAGGGGCCUCCUCUCCUGUUUGCACUUCACUAAGAUCUAACAGCUGUGACUGGCUAGCCUCCUCUGGUGUAGAGAAGAGCUCCUGGCUGCAUGCAUUUCUGACCUCUGAGUCGUCCCCUGCCUCUGGGUCCCCCUCUACAUCCUUGUCCAAGAUUUCCUCCUCCUGGCUCGGUCCACUCUCGACUGGCAAGCAAGCCACUGAAGUAUCUACAGUGGCCUUCAUAGUGGAGGUUGGGUCACCACCGAGUAUUGCGACGACCACCUCUUUGUAGAACUGGCAGCUCGUGGGUGCAGCACCGGAGUGGCAGUUUGCCUCCUGCGCCUUGUGGUAGGUGUGCCGCAGCUCCUUCACUUUGACCCUGCACUGAAGUGUGUCACAGUCAUAGCCCCUUUCUGUCAUGCAUUGUGAAUUCUGUCCGAAGGUAUAAUUCCUACAU